rnacentral:rRNA from 1 species
AUGUUCCGCAUCGAGCUGCCAUCCCCACCACGGCCGCUGUGGCCAUCGCCGUCGAACUCCACCACCGGCGCCUCCCCGACCUUCCCGGAGCUCGCAUACGUCCUCCCCAGUGAGCCCUCCUCCGGAUCCCCCUUCCUCCGCCUCGAUUCGGUCACCGUUUGCCGUCCCCGAGAACAUCGGAGCUCGCGUCGCGUGUACGCGUACGUGUACUGGCUUAAGCGCGUGUGUGAGCUGCUGCUGCUUAACUGUCGUCUCCUGCUGCGGAGUACUGCUGCUGCAGCGCGCCCGCCCUGGCCUCGCCUCUGCCUGCCGCUGCUCGCCGGCCAUCGCCCACGGCCGCGUAGCGCGCCCCUGCUGCUCCUUGCGAUGCGUUGCUGCUCAUACCGCUACUCUGAUCUGCUUGCUGCUGCUGUCACUGCACUGCUGCUCUGUUUGCUGCUGCUCACGGCCGCUGCUACUUCUUUCCUUGUGUUGCUGCCGCUGUUGGCCAUGGCCGCCGUGGCUUCUGCCUCGUGCGUGCUAGCCAUGGCAAGCACAGCCAAGGCCUGGGUGUGCCGCUGCCAAUGGCCGGCCCAACUAGUAGGUCUAAUUAGUUUAGGCUAA